CCUCUAAAUAGCUCAAAUAAGAACAAUUAAAAUAAAACCCCCUUAUACAAAAUAAUUUCCAAUAAGCCCAAAAUACACAAAUAAAGUCCUACAAUAAUAAAACUGCAAACAAACCCAGAAAUAAAAGAAAAUAAAGUGCAAAUAAAAUAGAGGACUAAACGAAAGAAUGAUCAGCUCUGAUAUCCCCAUCAAUAUUCCAUCAGAACCAUCCUGGGAGUGUUACUCGUCUUCAAGGAAACUCCUUGGGACAAUGGACUUCGUAGAGUCAUGCAGGAAAACAUCAUUAGGAGAGAACUCGAUCGGCUAUUCCAGAUACUGGAAGACGGGAUAGAACAUGUCCAAACUUAGUGCACUUGAGUAAGUCAUGCCUCUUCGUGAUUAAUGUUAACAGUCAUGCAUCAAAACCGCGAAUAUACAUCGGUUGAGGGAAUCACACAGCCUGCCACCAGCCCAGAAAAUAAUUAUAACAUAUAGAUGCAACUUCCUGAACACUUUUCAUGCAGAUAAUCUACUACAAGACUACCGGACCCUAUGAGUAGUCUGUGAUGAAGCACAGUUGUUUAUUAAUUUCAAAAUAAAAUUCAGAUUCUCAGAGGCGUAAGAACAUAUGAAGCUACCAAUACUUAACCAAAUUAGCCCCAGUUUGAAAUAGUUCUGAUGUACAAUCAUUUGCGCAUGGCAUUUGCAUGAACGAGUUGUAAAAUCCCAGAAAAAAAAAAAAGAGGUUAACGGGCCGGCCCGAAAAGACCGGACCCGUAUCCCUCUUAUGAUCGUGCCCUAGGCACGAUCGUAGAAGAAGCCAUUUUGAGGGAGAGGCGGCGGCGUUGGAGAGGGCUCGCCGGAGGGAUUUGAGCGCCGGAGGAAGGAACCGGCUGGCCGCGGAGGAAGCCGGAAGCUUUUCCCUCCCUCGGUGAAGAUCCCCCACAAAUCAAGAGAAGAAGUCUCGGAUCCGUGCGUGAAAACCCAAGACCCUCCUCCGAUUUCUCGCCGGAAAGUCGCCGGAACACCCUCAUCGGGCCGAGAGGAAGAGUCGGCGGUGCCAGGAGAUUUUGAUCAGGGGACUCAGCACCCCAGCGCGUAGGUUGUGAUUCGGACCGUGUUUGAGUCAGUCUACAAUUUCUAGGCUCUGGAUUUGUAGAGACCAUUGGGUGGGACGAGAAAUAAGAUCAGCAUGGAGUCUGAUUGCUGGAUAGAUAGGAGUUAAUCUAUCUUUUAUUUAUGGACAUUUGAAAUUAUGUAAUAAAUCAGUACAUUUUAGUUGGUUUAGUUUGAAUACAUUAAUUAUGGAUUUAUUGGAAUUGUUGUUUA